rnacentral:SRP_RNA from 1 species
GCCGGGCGUGGUGGCGGGCGCCUGUAGUCCCAGCUACUUGGGAGGCUGAGGCAGGGGAAUCGCUUGAACCCGGGAGGCAGAAGUUGCAGUGAGCCAAGAUCAUGCCACUGCACUCCAGCCUGGGUGACAGAGAAAGACUCUGUCUCAA